CCCGCUCCGUUUAUUUCAUUAUGUAUAUUAUUAUUUAUUUUUGAUAAUUUAGAAUAUUAAAUAUGUGUUUAAUGUUUUGAUAUUUUAAUUUAAAUUUAUUAUUUAAAAUAUUUGAAAUGUAUGUAUGAAUUUUUUUAGAUUGUUUUAUUUUAUUAUUUGUAAUGUAAUUUUAUUUUGGAAGAAAUAAAUAUUUCUAUUAAAA
rnacentral:lncRNA from 1 species